AAGGAUUUAAGUUAAGGAAACUAUCAACCUUCAAAGUUGAAAAUAGAAUUUUUCUAAGCCUUA
rnacentral:tRNA from 1 species